GUAACACGUGGGAACGUGCCUUUUGGUUCGGAACAACUCAGUGAAACUUGAGCUAAUACCGAAUGUGCCCUUCGGGGGAAAGAUUUAUCGCCAUUAGAGCGGCCCGCGUCUGAUUAGCUAGUUGGUGAGGUAAAGGCUCACCAAGGCUACGAUCAGUAGCUGGUCUGAGAGGAUGAUCAGCCACACUGGGACUGAGACACGGUCCAGACUCCAUACGGGAGGCAGCAGUUAGGAAUCUUGCGCAAUGGGCGAAAGCCUGACGCAGCCAUGCCGCGUGAAUGAUGAAGGUCUUAGGAUUGUAAAAUUCUUUCAGCGGGGACGAUAAUGACGGUACCCGCAGAAGAAGCUCCGGCUAACUUCGUGCCAGCAGCCGCGGUAAUACGAAGGGGGCUAGCGUUGCUCGGAAUUACUGGGCGUAAAGGGCGCGUAGGCGGACAGCUUAGUCAGAGGUGAAAGCCCAGGGCUCAACCUUGGAACUGGCUUUGAUACUGGCUGUCUUGAGUUCGGGAGAGGU
rnacentral:rRNA from 1 species